rnacentral:lncRNA from 1 species
CAGUUUUAUUAAGUAAAGACUUGUGUCGUUAAAAUUUCGUUGGAACGAAGUUACGGAAAGUUAAUUAACAAACGGAGACGUAACAAUUUCUUAUAUAUGAUUCCAAUCCCUCUUUUUAAAGAUAAUGAUGCUAUUGUACUCGUUUUUUUAUGUUUCACUGUUAAUGCAGUAAUCAAGUGAUGAAUCUCCAAUUCAGCUGGUAUGUCAAAUCGAUUGCAUAUCUUCAAAUGAGUUUUUCCUUCAUCUGAUGUGGAUCCAAGGUUUAGCUUAAUCGCUACACUUAAAAUACCACAUUUAUAAUUACAUCUAGAACAUUUCAAGCAUGUUUCUUUGCUACAUUGUUUUAUUUUACAUUUACAAGUUAACUUCUCCAUGUUGGCUCUCAGAUCAGAUCACAGGUUUGGUCCAGUGACCUAGGCCUCAAAAAUAGUGCAGAAUAUCUUCUUUUUGUUUAAUCAAAACAAUCCAAACUUUUCUGCAAUGAAUCAUAUUUUUUUGAUACAUUUAAGAUGCUGGCCUGGCUUGUAUGGCAAGUGUUAACAUUUUUAUAGGGGUAUCAGAUAAUCAUUUGUACUGUUGUCUAACUUUCACAAAACUGUUAAAGGGGCAUUUGAAAAACAUUUUUAAAAUCAUCUUUACAAUAAGUUUCAUUAAGUCUUUUUUAUUUUAUGAAGAAGUGUGCAGAAUAUUCUAUAGUUCUCACAGUUAAGUGGUUUCUUAUCCACGUUUAUGAAGUUGUUCAGCUACAGACCUACAAUGUUCUUCAGUAUCAACCAGAACUGAGAUAACUGUCCAUUGUUGCAUUUUUACAUUCAAUUUUUGUGUACUAGUCACAAUAGCUCCAUGUAGCACCAGUGUUAUGCAUACUACAGUUUGAGAAUUUGCUGUGGAGAAUGUUUUCAGGAUAAGCCUACUCGUCUACAUGUAUGUGUUUAUCUUUAAAACUUGCAUAAAGGUUAAGGGGCAAGUAUAAAACAGUAAAGAGAUAAAUAACAGCAUCAAGUAGUAAAACUUAGGAAUGAUUAAGACUACCAUAGGAUAGUGGUCCCCUAUUGGUAGGCCACGUCAAGCCCACAGAAGCUUGAAUUGUGGCCCAUACUAUAAUGAGAUACUGCACUGUUAACCAUUAUAAUACUUUAUUAGUAAGCAAAACUAUUUUGGGAAUAAUUUAUUCCCCACCAAGCUCAGGACCAGCUCUUUGCUUAAUAGUUAUCAUCUGAAAUGAUCCAGUGUGUGUAUUAUAAAUAGGGACUACUGGCCAAGAUGGAAGCUAAUUCUUGCUUAGUAACAACUAGGCUGAUAUUUAAUGUGUAUUUUAAAAGUCACCACAAAUGUAAGGACAGUCAGGUUACAAAGUUCUAUUGAGCUCUAUCUUCAUAUCUAGUUGGGAUAUCUUGAUCCAAAAGCUAACAAGUAUGCAGAGCUUCUAAUUUUUGGUUUAACUGAGAAACACCCCCGAUACAAAAAAUAAAUUGGUGUUUUUUCCAAAAAAACACCAGUAAUGGUUAUUCAGAUUAAAAUAAAGGUCCACACUUUUACAAGUCACUAUGCUUCUGAGAUCUAAUGGCUACCUCAAUUAAGUCUAGCAGAGUUGUGUUGGGUGUGUUUGCUUUGUUUACAUUUCUCCUUGUUAUGUUACUAAUCAGACCUCAUUCAUAGUCUGACUUUAUAGCUUCUUGUAUCAUUUAUUCAUUAGGGUGUCUAUAUGCCCUGUGAAGUCUGUUACCUACCUCUUGUAAGUUGUGUCUGAAUAUGUUAACUGAUUCUCCUCACUCUUGGGUUAAACUAUGAAUCUGUGUAAUUAUUGUGUUAGGUUUCUUUCAUUUUCUAUACUCUUGUGUUAAUCUGUGCUCUAGACACUGAAAAUUCAUGGUUUCUUUUAGUUCAUUAUAUGCCCUGAAGUAGCGUUUUGCCUCUCAUGCUGUUCUUAGUCUAAAUAUAUCAACAUUUUGGGCAUCUGUCCACCUUGAUAUUGUAGCAGCUUCAUUAACUGCAUCAAUAAAACUCUUGAUAUUUUCAUCAAAUCUACGUGAAACAGCAGUAUAGCACUCGUUAAAUGUGUAGUGCUGCGUGGUCCUCCUAGUGCUGUAGCCUCAAAAUUUACACCAGCCUGUCUGUCAGUUCUUGGUCGCACACCCUCCUCUAUCUUGAUAUCUUCAGCAGCAGUAGCUAUAUCUACUCAUUUGUUACCAUUUAUGUCUACUUACACUACUUAAUAUUUUGACUUAACUUAUUUGUGCUUCUUUCUUUCUUCCUCAGAACCUGUUGUUGGUUGCCCAAAAUCCUGAUGCACUGUGCCAAUUUAUAACAGCCCACCAUGGAUGUAGUUGUUUGGUUCAACUCUGCAUCAGUUACAAAUAAAUUUGUUUAAUGCCAGGUUAUGCAUUUUGGGUUAAGUAAUCAAGCCUCCACUUGAGGAAGUAUAGGUUUAAAAUAUAGUAAUUCACUCAGAGACUGUUUAACAGAAACAUAAAAUAAUUUUAAUACACAAAAUCUAUAUACUCAUCUACAUCAAAGUUCCUGAAACUGUCUUGAGAAAGUUUGAUAUCAAAAUUAUUAAACUCUUCGUUUUGAACAGCAAUAUGUUCAUUAAUUAGACCUAUUAUAUUUAUUAACAUUGAAACUACAAAAAACAAGUUAUCAACCGAGUUCUCCCGAGAUAUUCUGUCAGACAUAAUUUUACCUGUACAAGUGCAAUAAUAAUUCUUCCAAUAUAUUUAUUAAUAACUUUGUUACAACAUCUAUUAACUUAGUUAAAUCUGCAGCAGAGUUAAUAUUUAGUACUCUUCUUUCCUCUGACAUUAUACAUUAUUUAUUACAAAUGUUGUUAAACCAGAUAAGAGAUGGCAUUAACUGCUUGCAAGGAGUUUGUGUGGUGAAUAUUUGCAAGAUUGUAUUAUGGAAAUUCUGGAUCUGAAGGUGCAUCAGAAAUCCUUGACAAUUCUGGAUCAGUUGGAGAGCUACAGGAUAGCUGAACAAGUCAAGAACUGGUGAGGAGUUGCACCCAGAACCAAAAUAAUAGCAUUUUAUACUACUUAAUUAGUAUGACUACGACUUAUAAUGAAGAUCAGCUUGCCCAAUUUUGCAUGUGAUUCUUUUAAUCUGUUUUCUAUUUUUGCAGCAUUCUAUCAAACCAAAACCGUAACUAUUGGAUUGUAUGGAACUAUUUCUAGGCAAUUAUCUAAUGAUAUGGGCAUAGAUAUCUGAACCCUCUAACUCAGAAUUUAUGGAUACAGACUUAUUAAUUUCAGUGUUUUUACACAUAUUAUUCCACUUGUUGCUUUCUCUCAAAGUUAUGUUGGGAGCUAAUAAGCAGAACCACUAGUUGCUACUUCUCAUAUUUCUAGCUAACUCCUGUAAUGUAUUUCAAGUUUGUUCUGUCCUUAUUUGGUAAUCUUGCUCGCUUGUUAGCAUCAGAUGUUUUAUAUAGCAGAUUGAUAUGGUUAAUUUCUAUAUUUCUUCGAUUGUUCUCAAAGUUUCAAAACUUCCAACAUUUGUAAUUUUAGCGAAUCCUUCAAUAAUACUGCAAAUUUAGUAGAGUUAUAGUUGAUGACACGAAUGUGAAAGAAAUAAAAAUGAGGAAAGGAUAUAAUUUUGAAGUAUGAUAUGGAGAUAGAACAUGUGUUUUCUACCUGUUUUAAUGAUAUAGAAGUUUUAAGACUUUCAUUUAUUUGUUUAUUUAGUUUGCAUACAGUUUUAGCAAGAACACUGAUCAUGAAAGUUUUUGAGAAUGCCUUAUUCUAGUUGCUUGUCAAAGAGGAUAUUGCAACAACAUAAAGCAUCUGGGAUGAAAGUAUUAGUCCUAUAAUAUCCUUUGCUGUCUGAGUUUUUGUUACCUGAUUAUAACAGUAACCAGUGUUAUGAGCAAACAAAGGUUACAAAGUGAUGCCAUCAACUGGAAAAGAAACCGAGCUUACCUGUUGAAUUAAGGAAUGCUUUCUUGGUUCAUUUCUACUGGGAGAUUAGUUGAGUAACACUUUUAUAAAUAUUACUGUGAUUACUUCUAUAGAGAUUAAUCCUGAGAGAAAGAAAGCUGUGGGACAAAGCUUAGCCUGGUAGAAGUGGCUGUCUUUUCGUGUUCGUGAGUUGUGUAUUUUGUUUGUUUGUCAAAUUAUAAAAAAUUGUAUGCCCUUUUUACUGACUUUAUCUGUUUCAUUAUUUUACACAGAUAAGCUAUCUACUUCAAAAUUGCUCUUCUUAUUUCCUGAACAAACUUGUAUUUUAAUGAAGAACACCUUAUACCUACAAUUAAUCACGGAAGAGGUUCGAUCAUGAAAUAGGUUAUUUUUUAGCAGUGCAGGGACUGGAGACAUUCAUGUGAUUGAAGAAUGAAUGAAUGCAGCCAUGUAUCAAAAUAUCUGGUAGAAGCGGCUGUCUUUUUGUGUUCGGAACUAUGGCAAAGAAGAAAAAAUAUAUCUUGUGGCAACUCAGCCAACAUCAGUUUGAGAUACCAAUGAUGCCUGGGGAACAAUGUAAGAUCAGGAAUCCCAGAUUUUGGACAUAUGUUUGGUACCUGAUCCGGGAUGGUGAAAUGAUGAGCUACCAUAAGAAUAAUGUCUUCCAUUUUUGGCAUGAUCUUCAGUAAUCAUAGCAGCAUGUUUCUCAUCUUGGAGAAGCUCCCUCUGUUCCACAGAAAUGGGUCUGAGAUUAAUAUCGACAGUGGACGUCAUGUGAUGCUGGAAAUACGUCAUGAGUUUCUAGAAGGAUCAUGACUGUUCCUGACAACUCUAGUGUUUGCCAGACGCCCUCUAUUUUUGUAUAUAAGCCCAGCAAAAAAAAAGCGGAG